rnacentral:rRNA from 1 species
UACGUAGGGUGCAAGCGUUGUCCGGAAUUAUUGGGCGUAAAGAGCUUGUAGGCGGUUUGUCGCGUCUGCUGUGAAAUUUCGAGGCUCAACCCCGAACUUGCAGUGGGUACGGGCAGACUAGAGUGUGGUAGGGGAGACUGGAAUUCCUGGUGUAGCGGUGAAAUGCGCAGAUAUCAGGAGGAACACCGAUGGGGAAGGCAGGUCUCUGGGCCACUACUGACGCUGAGAAGCGAAAGCAUGGGGAGCGAACAGG